rnacentral:rRNA from 1 species
UGGGGAAUAUUGCGCAAUGGAGGAAACUCUGAACCUGCGACGCCGCGUGAGUGAUGAAGGUCGUAAGAUCGUAAAACUCUUUUCAGGGAUCUUAAAGCCUGUCUGUCAACAACAGGCAGGUCUGACUCUCCCUGGAAGAAGCCCCAGCCAACUACGUGCCAGCAGCUGCGGUAAUACGUAGGGGGCAAGCGUUAUCCGGAAUUAUUGGGCGUAAAGAGUACGUAGGUGGUUUCUUAAGCGCAGGGUUUAAGGCAAUGGCUUAACCAUUGUUCGCCCUGUGAACUGGGAGACUUGAGUGCAGGAGAGGAAAGUGGAAUUCCUAGUGUAGCGGUGAAAUGCGUAGAUAUUAGGAGGAACACCAGUGGCGAAGGCGACUUUCUGGACUGUAACUGACACUGAGGUACGAAAGCGUGGGGAGCAAACA